GCGUCAAGUGGUUUUGGGAUCUGUGUGGUGCUGCGUGGUGGUGUUGCGUAUUGUUUGCUUGGUGGCUGGCUUUUCCUGCAUGUUUACCAGUGGUAGGGCGGGCGGUGCACAUCGCAUGCUGCAUCUUGCACCAUGCAGAUUUGUCUGGUUUAGCAGUUUAUAGCAAAUUAAGCUGUUGGUUCCUUGUAUACAUGGACUUCCACA